rnacentral:rRNA from 1 species
CGGCGGACGGGUGAGUAACACGUGGAUAACCUACCUAUAAGACUGUGAUAACUUCGGGAAACCGGAGCUAAUACCGGAUAAUAUAUUGAACCGCAUGGUUCAAUAGUGAAAGACGGUUUUGCUGUCACUUAUAGAUGGAUCCGCGCCGCAUUAGCUAGUUGGUAAGGUAACGGCUUACCAAGGCAACGAUGCGUAGCCGACCUGAGAGGGUGAACGGCCACAUUGGAACUGAGAAACGGUCCAA